ACGGAAGGCAGCAGUAGGGAAUAUUGCACAAUGGGGGGAACCCUGAUGCAGCGACGCCGCGUGAGCGAUGAAGUAUUUCGGUAUGUAAAGCUCUAUCAGCAGGGAAGAUAAUGACGGUACCUGACUAAGAGGCCCCGGCUAACUACGUGCCAGCAGCCGCGGUAAUACGUAGGGGGCAAGCGUUAUCCGGAUUUACUGGGUGUAAAGGGAGUGUAGGUGGUUUGGCAAGCCAGAUGUGAAAACCCGGGGCUCAACUCCGAGGACUGCAUUUGGAACUGUUAAACUUGAGUGCAGGAGAGGAAAGUGGAAUUCCUAGUGUAGCGGUGAAAUGCGUAGAUAUUAGGAGGGACACCAGUGGCGAAGGCGGCUUUCUGGACUGUAACUGACACUGAGGCUCGAAAGCGUGGGGAGCAAACAGGAUUAGAUACCCUGGUA
rnacentral:rRNA from 1 species